UAUAUACUUGCAUUUAUAUUUAUUGGUUAUUUUGACAGUGAAUCUGUUGCACAAAUAAAGUGUUUGUUUUGUAACAGUUAGUAGGCAAUAAAGCUCGUCUUAAAGAUAAUAGCGUAUAUAAAACUGCUAAAUACAUUUUAAAUUCAAGAUAUAAAAUACAAGGUUAUUAUUUAAAUUGUCUAUGGAGUGGUCAUGCUUAUAAAUGUAAUACUGCAUGACUUUGAUGUGCGCGCGCGCGUCUUGCUUCCAACACUGGAGCGGAGAGGAUGUUGCUAUGGGAAACGAAGCUACAACACGACACGACACCACACCUGAAAGACACAACACGACUUCUCUCAAGCUGCCGUUUUGACAGUUUUCAGGAGGUCAAAGUUUAACCUAAGUGCUGUGUAGCUGAUGAACAUCUUUAUAUGCAAAACCGGAGCACCCAGAGAAAACCCAUGCAAACGCCGGGAGAAUUUGC